CUUCGUAAGUCCUCAGCCAGUAAAGGGGCAACCAGCGAGGAUGCGGCGCUGCGGCUGAAGCUAGGAGGCCGCUGAGGCUACCGAAGAGGGGACGAGGCGAGGAGGCGGCGGUAGGAGGCGGCUAGCUUGGGCGCCCGCACCUGGAAGGGGGCCGCGGGGCGGGUCAGGAGGCAGCUCACGGGGGCGAAGGAGUCACGACCCCGACCCCCCCAGCAGCUUGGGUUCCGCACGACGCACCGGGUGUACGCGUACCUCCGCCGGGACCUCUUCAAAAGACUCUUGAACACGCACUACCUCUUCCUAUAACCAUAAGACGAUCUUGUACUCUCUGCGAAGCUCGCGUCCCUCGUCAAGGUGUUCUCUGACAGCAUGCAGGAGUAAGGACCACGGUAGAAGCAGAAGACGGGCCUGUUCUUCUCCCUUGGGAGCUGCCUCCCCGUCAGCCCGCAGAUCGAAGUAGGCACUUUUAGAUCCCCGGAAGAAGUACACUGGUCACCAUUGCCUUCCAAGAACUUGACACACCAACCAACUAACUCAACGCUUCAAACCAACCAACCCAAAAGACUAGUGAGUCAAACCUCCGCCUGCCCAUUGCUAGAAGACAUGGUCUGCGACCCCCGCAACCUACUAGACCGUUUUAAUCCUUGUUUCAGAAAACAACGAAGGUUCCACAACCAAACUUACCUUUAGCUUUGUUGGUAGGUAGCACCAAAAGAACAACACAACUUGUUCCAAAAAAAACAGACCUUGCGAC
rnacentral:rRNA from 1 species